CAGGCAAAAUUAAUAAUCGCGGAAUUAAAUUAUUAUAAUUUAAUUUUGAGGAAAGUCCGGGCUCCACAGAGCAUGACGCCGCUUUAAAACGGUGAAGGCAACUUCAAGGAAAGCGCAACAGAAAAUAUACCGCCGCAUUUAAUAAACAAAUAAUUAAUUAAUUAAUAAUUAAGUACAGAAUUUAAUAAAGCCUGUGUAUGCGCAUACAUCAAAUAAUCGGCAAAUGCGCUUAUAAAUUAAAAAUAGAUUUAACAAAAUUUAAUUUAUUUCUUAUUUCUUAUUUCUUAUUUAUUUUAGUUAUCGUUGAUUAUAGUUUAUAUUGCGGUAAGGGUGAAAUAGUGAGGUAAGAGCUCACUCUGAUAUGCGGCAACGCAUACAGUGGCAAGCCCCGUCAGGAGAAAGAACAAAUAGGAAAACUUAAGGCUGCUCGUCUUGUAUAGUUUUCGGGUUGUUCGCUUAGAUAAAUGAUUAUUUUUAAUUUACAGAACUCGGCUUAUGAUUUUGCCUGAUAU
rnacentral:RNase_P_RNA from 1 species